GUAUUUGUAGCUUAGCCCAAAGCAUAGUGCUGAAACCGCUACGACGAGUUUUAUCACACCUCCAAAUACA
rnacentral:tRNA from 1 species